GACGUAGGGCGCGAGCGUUGUCCGGAUUUAUUGGGCGUAAAGAGCUCGUAGGCGGUCCGUCACGUCCGCUGUGAAAACCCAGGGCUCAACCCUGGGCUUGCAGUGGAUACGGGCAGACUAGAGGUAGGUAGGGGAGAAUGGAAUUCCCGGUGUAGCGGUGAAAUGCGCAGAUAUCGGGAGGAACACCGGUGGCGAAGGCGGUUCUCUGGGCCUUACCUGACGCUGAGGAGCGAAAGCGUGGGGAGCGAACAGG
rnacentral:rRNA from 1 species